GACACUUUAGUGACUGAAUUGUGAAAUGGUCCAUAAUUGAGUGAUCGGAGAUUCUUUCAAUCGAAAGAUAAAAACUCUCGUCCGAGUCCCGGAAGGCGGGGGUUUGGCGCAAGUUCCGUCCGCGUUAGCAAGUAAGUUGGUCAAUUAGUACGAAACGCGGCUCUGCCCGUCUUCUCUCUUUCCCUUUCUCCUCCUUCUCUCAACCUUUCUUCUUUGCUUUUUGGGAUCUUCGCUCGUUCGUAGCGGGAUCCUCCCUUCUCUCUCUCCGAGCUUUGUCCUUGUAGAUCGUGAACGAUUCUACCAUUCCGUACAUCUUCUGAAAUUGCGAUCUCUCAUUUCAUUCCUUCAGAUCUGUCUCACCGACACUCGGACCA
rnacentral:lncRNA from 1 species